UACGUAGGGUGCAAGCGUUAAUCGGAAUUACUGGGCGUAAAGCGUGCGCAGGCGGUUGUGCAAGACAGGUGUGAAAUCCCCGGGCUCAACCUGGGAACUGCAUUUGUGACUGCAAGGCUAGAGUACGGCAGAGGGGGAUGGAAUUCCGCGUGUAGCAGUGAAAUGCGUAGAUAUGCGGAGGAACACCGAUGGCGAAGGCAAUCCCCUGGGCCUGCACUGACGCUCAUGCACGAAAGCGUGGGGAGCAAACAGG
rnacentral:rRNA from 1 species